GACUAUGGUUUAUGCUACCGAUCUUAGAUUUGAACCAUGAGACUUUGAGUAUUCAAGAACCAUUUCUUGAGUUUCCAAAUUAUGCUUCAACCCAAAAUUUUCCGGUUCAAAUCUGUAACAUUUGCAUUUGUUAUCUGUAGCAUAAACAGGUCGUGAGUUAUUACCACAAAUGGAAAAACGCCCAAUAAAAUGAAACCUCUGGUAAAUUAUCAAACACAUCCUGAAUCGUUGAUGUUGUUAGAAGAAACUCUUUUGAUUGAUUAAAAUGUGCAGAAAAGAUUAUUAAAAUCUUAUCGCAACAUAGGUGCGCACAUACUACAGUGUUUAUCAUUGUUGAAUGGAUUACAAAUUGUCUUGCAAAAAAUUGUAACAGUGAUAGUUGGUUUCACCUUGUAAUAAAAAUGAAUCUCUAGUUUUUGUGAAGUUAUCAUAUUUGGGUUUGAUUGUUUUUAUUCAAAUUGUUUCACAAUGGAUUUGCAGGAAUUCUUGAAUUACUAUCAGUCAUUUAAAAGACCAUCAAUGGUGGCCAAAGAUUUACAAAACAACAAUUCAUCUCAAUCAAAAGUGUCAAGUAUAAAUAAAAAGCUCUUACAAAUAUUGUCUCCAAGUGAAGAAACACUCAAAACUUGCUUGUACUCGGAUCAGGAUAAAAACAAAGUCAAUGACAACUCUGACUGUGAUCAAUCCACUGAUUCAUCAAAUACUGUAAAUUUGAAUUGUCAUCGGUUUCAGUUUCAAAAUGGUCAUCGGUUUCAAUCAAAACGAUUAGAACUGGACUUCAUCAACACAUACGACAUGGCAUCAGAUAGUAUUUACUCUGAUGAUCUUGAUCAACUCGUGUUCAAAAUCAUCUCGAACAACAAUCUAAGUCUUUCAACCUCGGACCUUGAUGAUUGUCAAAACUCAGAGACAUUAUAUUACCAAUAUUAUGAUGGUUAUCAAGCUUUACAACCCAACCAACACUUCACCUACAAUGAUUACGUUAAGCUGAGAGCAAACACUUUACUACUCGCCAGACUUGGAUACAAGUUGACAAUAACAUUGAAUACAGACAACCAUAAACCAGAAGCUUGGAAUCCAAAAGUAGCCAAGAAAAUAUUAUCUGUUGAUUAUUCGUCUUUUAGUCUGGUUAAAGAUUGUUUCGCGGCACGGACGCCUCUGGAUCAAUUUGAACCUUUUUUAAAAGAAAUCAUACAUGCUUUUCGAGAUGAUGAACCAAUUGAAUUGCCUGGUUUCGCAAUUAAAUUCAGAUCCAACCCUUCACCUGCGAAAUUUGUUUCCAUUUGCAAGAAGCUCAGAAGUUUAAAGAAACUGUGUGAUAACGAUAAAAUUGUGCUCAUGUCCAGCUCAUUUUAUGAUGUCUUCUCUAUGAAUGCCGUUUUUAAAUACAACCAAUCGACUGAUGAAUGGAUACUCCCAGAAUAUAGAUCAAGAUUUGGAAGACGUGAUUUUUUCCUUUGGAAUCGACUAUUACAUGAUGCAACUUUACUUGCUAUUGAAGCAUUACCAGAUAGAUGGAGAAAGGAUGAAGUAGUUGAAGCUUUGAUUAGUCUCAUUGUUAUUUUCGAUCCUGAUCAAGUUGGACUAAACUUUCCCGAUUCAGUCAGACAUGAACAAUACGUUUACAUUUAUCUAAUUAAGCGAUAUUUGGAGUCGGUUUGUGAAUCAGCUUGUGAUGCUUCAGAAAAUCUCUACAGAUUAAUGGUUGGUGUUGAAAAGUUCCGAGAAUUGGGUGAAAUCACAUGUAAACAUAUGAAUGAAGUUGUAAUUGGUUAUCAUAGAUCUUUAAUAAACCUGAUAAUCGAUGUAAUCCACAACAAGUAGACUCUGCAAGGGUACAUACGAUGCAUUCAAUUCAAUGGAUUCAACAACUUGAAGGCUCUUUUGUGGUGGUAUUAAACAAUGUAGUGAUCCGAUUGACAAAAGGCCGAAGCACUAUUCAUAAUUUUUUAGCGAUUGUGUGAUCCUCUGGAUGGUUCCGUUUCGAGAUUCGGGUCCAGUCAAUUAAUUCAAAUAAUUAACCAGUAGCGAUAAUUAGUCUUGAUUCUUUGUUUUCAAUCGAAUGGUCCUGGCAAAACAAUCAUUAUAUGAAUAACCAGAAAUAAUCAACAGUUGACACAUUAGAUGAGAAAGUUCUGGUUGAUGAAAAACCAAAAGGAGAUAAGGAAUAAUAAUGAAAACUCUUAACUCGAUCCAAGAAGCAGAAAAGAAAAAGCGGAAAGUGCAGAAAAGAUCAUUCAGAUCUUAUCGUAAAAUAGUUGUGCACAUGCUACGAUGCUUAUCAUAAAUCAACUGUUUAUUGUUGUACAAAAUAUUGUAACAGUGAUAGUUGGUUUUACCUUGUAAUGAGAAAAAAUCUUCAAUUUAUUUGUUUUCUUUUCUGUAAUGUCAUUAAACUAUUUAUUAAUUAAUAGUUUAAUUCUGCUAUUAUUCAAAUCGCUAUACAAUGGAUUUAAGUGAAUUUUGGAGUUUCUUUCAAACACCCACAGGUCAAUCAAUGAAAGCCAAAGAUUUACAAGACAACAAUUCGAUAAUUUCGUUGUCUCAAGCAGAAGUGUCCAAUAUAAACAAAAAGCUUUUGCAAGUAUUGUCGUCAAGUGAAGAUACAAUCAAAACUUGCUUAAGCUCCGACCAACAUGAAGUCACUGUUAAUGAUAACACUGACUGUGAUCAAUCUACCAUUUUAUCCAAUACGAUGCAUUUGAAUAUUGAUAGAUUCUAUCUUAAAACCUGCCGUCGAUUUGGAUCAGAACUUGACUACAUCAACUCGUACGACGCGAUAUCAGAUAGUAUUUACUCUGAUGAUCUUAAUAAACUCGUGUUUAACAUUGUCUAUCAAAACAAUCUAAGUCUUGCAAGUAGUAUAGCAGUAGUCUUGCAGUCUUGUAUAUUAAUGACAAUGAAGACUUAGAAACAUUAUACAUUAUGUAUUACCAAUGUUAUGAUGACUAUCAAGCUUUACAGCCCAACCAACACUUUACCUACAAUGAUUACGUUAAACUGAGAGCAAACACUUUACUACUCUCUAGACUUGGAUACAAGUUGACAAUAACAUUGAAUACAGACAACGUUAAACCAGAAACUUGGAAUCCAAAAGUAGCCAAGAAAAUAUUAUCUGUCCAUUAUUCACCAUUGAGUUUGCUGAAGAAUUGUUAUUCUGCCCAAACAUCUUUAGACCAAUUAGAAACUUUUCUUUUAACAGAAGUGGUAAAUGCCUUCCAAGAUGAUGAACCAACCAGAUUACCUGAUUUUUCACUUAAAGUCCAUUCGAAUCCGUCACCAGCAAAAUUCGUUGCCAUUUGCAAGAAGCUCAGAAGUUUAAGAAAACUUUGUAAUAACGAUAAAAUUGUUCUUAUGUCCAGCUCAUUUUACGAAGUUGCUUCUCUGAACCUCAUUUUAAAAUACAAUCAAGCAACUGAUGACUGGAUAAACCCAGACCAGUUAUCAAGAUUCGGAAGACGUGAUUUAUUUUUUUGUGGUCUUGCAUUACAUGACAAGUCUGUUCCUGUGAUUGAAUCAUUGUCAGAUCGAUGGAGAAAGGAUGAAGUUAUUGAAGCUUUGAUUAGUCUGAUUCUUAUUUUCAAUCCUGAUCAAGUUGACCUCAACUUUCCCGAUUCAGUUAGACACGAACAAUACGUUUACAUUUAUCUACUUAAGCGCUAUUUAGAGUCAGUGUGCGAAUCACCUUGUGACGCUUCAGACAAUCUUUACAGAUUAAUGGUUGGUGUUGAAAAGUUCCGUGAACUGAGUAAAGUUGUGUGGGAAACGAUUCAUUUUUCUGAUGCUGGUUAUCAUAGAUCUUUACGAAACUUUAUCAUCAAUGUAAUUAAUAACAAGUAGACUCCAAAACUGUACAUGCACUGACUGUAGCCAUAAGUUUUCAUUAUCAUUACAUCUCAUUUCAAAGUAUUGAUGUACAUCUAUUGUGGUUAUUUAAACGCGUAAGACUAUUUCAAGUUGAAAAAAGCAACUACUUAUAACACCGUGCUCUGCUCUGCAAAAUCGCUCAAUAUUGCAGCAAACUUAUCCUGGCUUUUUUGUGUCAAAGAGAAAGUUUAAGAGAAACUCAACAAAGUGUACAGAAAAGACUCUUCAAACCUUAUCAAACAAUAAUUGUGCUCAUGCUAAAGCGUUUAUCAACGAUUUUAAUUGAUCUUCAGUGUUAAUAGUAAUUAAAUAGAUGAUUUAUUUUCUUACAAUGAAAGUGUGGCAGUGAUAAUUGAUUUUACCUUGCAAUAAAAAUCUUCAAGAUAUUCAUUUUAUUUGCUUUUUGUUGACGGCAUUAUAUUUGGUUUGAUUCUGUUAUUAUUCAAAUUGAUUCAAAAUGGAUUUGAGUGAAUUUCUGUAUUUCUAUCAAUCAUCGUCAAGUUCAUCAGUGAGAGUGACAAAUUUUGAAAACAACGAUUCGAUAAUUUCGUUGUCUCAAUCAAAAGGGCCAAGUAUCAAUAAAAUGCUUAUGCAAGUGUUGUCUCCAAGUGAAGAAACACUAAAAACUUGCUUAAACUCCGACCAACAUAAAAACAAUGAUGGAUGUGAUAAUAACAGUGACUAUGAUCAAUCCACCGAUUCAACAAAUUUAAAUGUUGACAGAUUCCAUCUUAAAACUUGCAGUCGAUUUGGAUCAAAGCUACCAGAACUUGACUACAUCAACUCAUAUGACAUGGCAUCAGAUAGUAUUUUCUCUGAUUUCCUUGAUCAACUUGUAAUUGACAUCGUUUAUCACAACAAUCUAAGCCUUUCAGCCUUGGAUCUUAUUGAUUAUCAAAACUCAGAAACACUUUAUUACCAAUCUUAUGAUGAUCAUCAAGCUUUACAGCCCAACCAACACUUUACCUACAAUGAUUACGUUAAACUGAGAGCAAACACUUUACUACUCGCUAGACUUGGAUACAAGUUGACAAUAACAUUGAAUACUGACAACGUUGAACCAGAACCUUGGAAUCCAAAAGUAGCCAAGAAAAUAUUAUCCGUCGAUUAUUCACAAUUGAGUUUAGUGAAGGAUUGUUACCAUGCACAAGCGCCUCUGGACCGAUUAGAAACAUUCCUUUUAGCAGACGUGGUAAAUGCUUUUCAAGAUGAUGAACCAAUUAAUUUGCCUGACAUUUCGCGCAAAGUCCAUACGAAUCCCUCACCAGCUAAAUUUGUCUCCAUUUGCAUGAGGCUUAAAAGUUUGAGAAAACUAUGUAAUAACGAUAAAAUUGUGCUGAUAUCUGGUUCAUUUUAUGAGAUCGUUUCUCUGAAUGUCGUUUUUAAAUACAAUCAAUCUAAUGAUGAAUGGAUACUCACAGAAUAUGGGUCAAGAUUUGGAAGACGUGACUUUUUCAUUUGGAAUCGUUUAUUACAUGACAAGUCUGUUUCUGUUAUUGAAUCAUUUCCAGAUCGAUGGAGAAAGGAUGAAGUAGUUGAAACUUUGCUUAGUCUAUUAAUUAUUUUCAACCCUGAUCAAGUUGGACUCAUAUUCGCAGAUUCGGUCAGGCAUGAACAAUAUAUUUACAUACAUCUGCUUAAGCGAUAUUUGGAGUCAGUUUGCGAAUCGCCCUGUGACGCUUCAGACAAUCUUUACAGAUUAAUGGUGGCUGUUGAAAAAUUCCGGGAAAUGGGUGAAAUUAUAUGCAAAAAUACGAAUUGUUUCGAGACUGGUUAUCACAGAUCUUUACAAAACCUGGUCAUCAAUGAAAUUUAUAAUAACAAGUAGACUCUAAAAGUGUACGUAUUAAUAAAUGAUGCAGCCAAACACUUGUCGACUUGAAAGACUCUAAAAAGACUGAAUUAAAUAAUCUGCAACUUUUUUCAUAAGUCACUGAAUUACAGUCAGUUAGUAGUCAACAGUUAGUAGUUACAGUAGUAUACAUUGUAGUCUUAUUAAACUGUUGCACUGAACUCAUAUUGCAUUACUAACGUAAGACUCCCAGGUUCAAUAAUUUAAUAAUACCAUUCAACAAUAAACAAAUUAUUAUCAUUGUUAUUAUAAUUAAUCUUGAUUCUUUGUUUUCGGCAAAUGGUCUUGGUUAAACAAUCAUUAUCAACCAGAAAAGAAGCAGAUAUAUUAAUGAAACCUCUGGUUUUUAUCGAGAAACUCUUUGAAGAGAGAGCAAUUUCAAUGGACAUUUAUGAGUUUCUUUUCGCAUCCGGUCUAGAGCUGCAAUGAAUUUUGAACUUUAUAUCAAAAAAUAUCUGCAAAACUCAUCCCAUUCAUGGAAAAACACCUCAACUCGAUUCAAUAAAAUGCGCAGAAAAGAUUAAAAUCUUAUCGCAAAAAUAUUUUGUACAUGCUAUAGUGUUUAUCAUAGUUGAAUGGAUUACAAAUUAUCUUACAAAAAAUUGUAAAAGUGAUAGUUGGCUUUACCUUGUAAUAAAAUAAAAUAAAUCUUUAGUUUUUUGUGACGUUAUCAUAUUUGUGUUUGAUUGUUUUUAUUCAAAUUGUUUCACAAUGGAUUUGAAGGAAUUCUUGAAUUACUAUCAGUCAUUUAAAAGACCAUCAAUGGUAGCCAAAGAUUUACAAAACAACAAUUCGUCUCAAUCAAAAGUGUCAAGUAUAAAUAAAAAGCUCUUACAAGUAUUGUCUCCAAGUGAAGAAACACUGAAAACAUGCUUGUACUCGGAUCAGGAUAAAAACAAAGUCAAGGACAAAAAUGACUGUGAUCAAUCCACUGAUUCAUCAAAUACUGUAAAUUUGAAUUGUCAUCGUUUUCAAUCAAAGCGAUUAGAACUGGACUUCAUCAACACAUACGACAUGGCAUCAGAUGGUAGUUACGAACUAACGAUGCCAGUGAAAGCUUUGCAUUAAUCGUAGCAAAACUCAGGUUCGAGGUCCAGAAUCAAAGGGUAAGAAUGUACAUUCAGGUUAUCAUAGAUCUUUACGAAACCUGAUUAUUGGUGCAAUUAAUAACAAGUAGACUCUAAAAGUGUGCAUGCAAUGCAGUCAAUUCAAUGGAUUCAACCAAAGACUUUACAACUUAACGGCUCUUUUGUGGUAAUACAAUGUAAUGUUGCAAUUAUUAUUAAAAAAGGCCUAAGCAUCAUUCAUAUUUUUAUAGCGAUUGAUGGAUGGUUCCGUCUCGAGAUUCAAUCCAUUCAAUUAUCAUCAAAUAAUUAACCAGUAGCGAUAAUAAGUCUCGAUUCUUUGUUUUCGAUCAGAUAGACCUGGCAAGACAAUCAUUAUAUGAACAACCAGAAAUAAUUAACAGUUGACACAUUAGAUGAGAAAGUUCUGGUUGAUGAAAAACCAAAAGGAGAUAAGAUAUAAUAAUGAAAACUCUUAACUCGAUUUAGCAAAUGCAGAAAAGAUAAUUCAAAUCUUAUCAUAAUAGAAUAGUUGUGCACAUGUUACAAUGUUUAGUAAAGUAAUCGCUCUUUGGUGUUUAUUCUAGUUAAAUGGAUAAUUGUAUUACAAAAAACUGUAACAGUGAUAGUUGGCUUUACCUUGGAAUCAGAAUAGUCAUCAGAUCAUAGAUCUUCAGUUCAAUCAUGUUAUUCUGUUUUUUGUGACGUGAAUAUAUUUAGUUUAAUUGUGUUGUUAUUGAAAUCGUUUUACAAUGGAUUUGAGUGAAUUUUUGAAUUUCUUUCAACCAUCCACAAGUCCACCAAUAAAGAUAACCGAUACUCAAAGCAAUAAUUCGAUAAUAUCGUUGUCUCAAUCAAAAGUGUCAAAUGUAAAUAAAAGGCUUUUGCAAGUAUUGGUACCAAGUGAAGAUACAAUCAAAACUUGCUUGUAUUCAGAUCAACAUGAAAACAACAAUAACGAUAACUGUAAUCGAUCCACCAAUUCAUCAAAUACUAUGAAUUCUAAUAGAUUCCAUCUUAAAAUUAGUCGCCGAUUCGGAGUAAAGCAAUCAGAUCUUGACUUUAUCUACACAUACGACAUGGCAUCAGAUCGUAUGUACUCUGAUCUUCUUGAUAAAGUCGUGUUUGAUAUUGUCAAUCACACAAAACCAAGUCUCUCAGCCAUGGAUAUUGAUGACUGUCAAAACUUAGAAACAUUAUAUUACCAAUAUUAUGAUGACUGUCAAGCUUUACAACCAACACAACACUUUACCUACAACGACUACGUUAGACUGAGAGCCAACACUUUACUAAUGACCAGACUUGGAUACAAGUUCCCAUUAACAUUAAAUAUUGACAACGAUAAACCAGAAACAUGGAAUCCAAAUGUAGCCCAGACAAUCUUAUCCGUUGAUUAUUCACCCUUGCGUGUUUUAAGGGAUUACUUCGCAGCCCAAGCACAUUUGGAACAAAUAGAAUCUUUCCUUUUAGAAUUAGUAAAUGCUUUUCAACAUGAUGAACCAAUUAAAAUGCCUGAUUUUGCUAUUAGAUUCAAAUCGAAUCCUUCACCGGCGAAAUUUGUUUCCAUUUGCAAGAAGCUUAGAAGUCUAAAGAAACUAUGUAAUAACGAUAAAAUGGUGCUCAUGUCCAGCUCAUUUUAUGGUGUUGCUUCUAUGAAUAUCGUUUUAAAAUACAACCAUUCAACUGAUGAAUGGAUAAUCCCAGAAUAUAGAUCAAGAUUUGGAAGACGUGACUUUUUUCUGUGGGAUCGUCCAUUACAUGAUGCAUUUUUACUCGCUAUUGAAGCUUUACCAGAUAGAUGGAGAAUGGAUGAAGUAGUUGAAUCUUUAACUAGUCUGAUUAUCAUUUUCGAUCCUGAUGCAGUUGGACUUGACUUUCCUGAUUCGGUUAGACAUGAACAAUACGUUUACAUUUAUUUGCUUAAGCGCUAUUUGGAGUCGGUUUGUGAGACACCUUGUGAUGCUUCAGAUAAUCUUUACAGACUAAUGGUGGGCGUUGAAAAGUUCAGGGAAUUGGGUGAAAUCUUAUGUCAACAUAUGAAUGAAGUCGUGCCUGGUUACCAUAGAUCUUUACGAAACCUGAUCGUCGAUGAAAUCAAUUCACAAAAGGGUGAAGCAUCAUUUAUGUUUUAGAGCGAUUCUGUGAUCCUCUGGGUGGUUCCGUGUCGAGAUUCAGGCCCAGUCAAUUUAAUUUUACGUUAAUAAUUGACCAUCAAUCAUUAAUCUUGAUUUUUUGCUUCAAUCAAUAGGUCUUGGUGAUACAAUCAUUAUUAGAUUGACCAGAAAAUAAGCAAAAGUUGAAAAAAAAGAUGCAGAGGUUCUGAUUAAUAAAAACAAAAAUAUCGAAAGAUAUAUUCUUGAAAACCCAUCCCGACCUUAUUAAGACGUGUUAUUAAGAGAAACUCUCACCUAGAUUCAAUUAAAAAUUUCAGAAAAGAUAAGAUUAUACAAAAUGUAUCAAAUAAUCAUCUGCACAUGUUACAGCGCAAUCAAAGAUCAUUGUAAUUUAUUUUGGUGUUUGUCAUAUCUGGAAGAAUAAUUCAUGUUCAUGUUUAUUUUUUGUGUGACGUUAUUAUAUUAUAAUAUUUGGUUUAAUUGUGUUGUUAUUAAAACAAGUGGACCCCCGAUCAUGACUGAUCGUAAUUUUUUCACUGAAAUACAAUAAAUUCAAUCCAUAUUUAAAGACUCAAA